UACGUAGGGGGGCAAGCGUUGUCCGGAAUCAUUGGGCGUAAAGAGCGUGUAGGCGGCCAGAUAAGUCCGCUGUGAAAUCUCGAGGCUCAACUUCGAGCUGUCGGUGGAAACUGUCUGGCUAGAGUCCGGAAGAGGCGAGUGGAAUUCCUGGUGUAGCGGUGGAAUGCGCAGAUAUCAGGAGGAACACCAAUAGCGAAGGCAGCUCGCUGGGACGUUACUGACACUAAGGCGCGAAAGCGUGGGGAGCGAACAGG
rnacentral:rRNA from 1 species